ACGGGUGAGUAUCGCGUAUACAAUCUGCCUCAUACUAGGGAAUAGCCCGAAGAAAUUUGGAUUAAUGCCCUAUAGUAUCUUUUUAAGGCAUCUUAUUAAGAUUAAAGUUUUCGGUAUGAGAUGAGUAUGCGUUCUAUUAGCUAGUAGGUGUGGUAACGGCACACCUAGGCUACGAUAGAUAGGGGCCCUGAGAGGGGGAUCCCCCACACUGGUACUGAGACACGGACCAGACUCCUACGGGAGGCAGCAGUAAGGAAUAUUGGUCAAUGGACGAAAGUCUGAACCAGCCAUGCCGCGUGCAGGAUGACUGCCCUAUGGGUUGUAAACUGCUUUUAUAUAGGAAGAAAAACUUUCUCGUGAGAAAGCUUGACGGUACUAUAAGAAUAAGGAUCGGCUAACUCCGUGCCAGCAGCCGCGGUAAUACGGAGGAUCCAAGCGUUAUCCGGAAUCAUUGGGUUUAAAGGGUCCGUAGGUGGACAGAUAAGUCAGAGGUGAAAUCCUGCAGCUCAACUGUAGAACUGCCUUUGAUACUGUUUGUCUUGAGUUAUUAUGAAGUGGUUAGAAUGUGUAGUGUAGCGGUGAAAUGCAUAGAUAUUACACAGAAUACCGACUGCGAAGGCAGAUCACUAAUAAUCAACUGACACUGAUGGACGAAAGCGUGGGUAGCGAACAGGAUUAGAUACCCUGGUAGUCCACGCCGUAAACGAUGGUCACUAGCUGUUUGGACUUCGGUCUGAGUGGCUAAGCGAAAGUGAUAAUGA
rnacentral:rRNA from 1 species